CCUACGGGUAGCAGCCGUGAGGAAUAUUGGUCAAUGGACGAGAGUCUGAACCAGCCAAGUAGCGUGAAGGAUUACUGCCCUAUGGGUUGUAAACUUCUUUUAUAUGGGAAUAAAAUGCUCCCCGUUUGGGGUUUUUUAUGUACCAUAUGAAUAAGGAUCGGCUACCUCCGUGCCAGCAGCCGCGGUAAUACGGAGGGUCCGAGCUUUAUCCGGAUUUAUUGGGUUUAAAGGGAGCGUAGGUGGAUUGUUAAUUUAGUAGUGAAAGUUUGCGGCUCAACCGUAAAAUUGCUGUUGAAACUGGCAGUCUUGAGUGCGGUAGAGGUAGGCGGAAUUCGUGGUGUAGCGGUGAAAUGCUUAGAUAUCACGAAGAACUCCGAUUGCGAAGGCAGUUCACGGGAGUGCAACUGACACUGAGGCUCGAAAGUGUGGGUAUCAAACAGGAUUAGAUACCCCAGUAGUC
rnacentral:rRNA from 1 species